rnacentral:rRNA from 1 species
AGUGAACGCUGGCGGUAGGCCUAACACAUGCAAGUCGAACGGCAGCACAGUAAGAGCUUGCUCUUACGGGUGGCGAGUGGCGGACGUGUGAGGAAUACAUCGGAAUCUACUUUUUCGGGGGGGAUAACGUAGGGAAACUUACGCUAAUACCGCAUACGCCCUACGGGUGAAAGCAGGGGAUCUUCGGACCUUGCGCGAUUGAAUGAGCCGAUGUCGGAUUAGCUAGUUGGCGGGGUAAAGGCCCACCAAGGCGACGAUCCGUAGCUGGUCUGAGAGGAGGAUCAGCCACACUGGAACUUAGACACGGUCCAGACUACUACGGGAGGCAGCAGUGGGGAAUAGUGGACAAUGGGCGGAAGCCUGAUCCAGCCAUACCGCGUGUGUGAAGAAGGCCUUCGGGUUGUAAAGCCCUUUUGUUGGGAAAGAAAAGCAGCAGGUUAAUACCCCGCUGUUCUGACGGUACCCAAAGAAUAAGCACCGGCUAACUACGUG